AUUGAACGCUGGCGGCAGGCCUAACACAUGCAAGUCGAGCGGCAGCGGGAAAGUAGCUUGCUACUUUUGCCGGCGAGCGGCGGACGGGUGAGUAAUGCCUGGGAAACUGCCCAGUCGAGGGGGAUAACAGUUGGAAACGACUGCUAAUACCGCAUACGCCCUACGGGGGAAAGCAGGGGACCUUCGGGCCUUGCGCGAUUGGAUAUGCCCAGGUGGGAUUAGCUGGUUGGUGAGGUAAUGGCUCACCAAGGCGACGAUCCCUAGCUGGUCUGAGAGGAUGAUCAGCCACACUGGAACUGAGACACGGUCCAGACUCCUACGGGAGGCAGCAGUGGGGAAUAUUGCACAAUGGGGGAAACCCUGAUGCAGCCAUGCCGCGUGUGUGAAGAAGGCCUUCGGGUUGUAAAGCACUUUCAGCGAGGAGGAAAGGUCAGUAGCUAAUACCUGCUGGCUGUGACGUUACUCGCAGAAGAAGCACCGGCUAACUCCGUGCCAGCCGCCGCUGUAAGAC
rnacentral:rRNA from 1 species